rnacentral:lncRNA from 1 species
GAGCCAUGUGGAAAAAAUUGGACCCAGGCUUGCAUGUGGGAAGUGGGUGAUGACAAACAGGCCUUGAAUCUGACUGUGUGUUAUAACUCAGUAUUAUUGCCACUUGUAUUUCAGGAGUAUUGGGAAAGGCUCAUCUGAAAACAAAGAGGGUUUUUAUUAACGGUUUUCUAGAAUUUCUUCUGGGUUGAGUUCCAUUGGAGACCUUACUUGGUAAGAGAGUAAUAGGGCUUGAUUUGUGAAUUUUUCAGUCCUGUAGUUAAAUUCCAUUAAAAAUUCACUGCAUAGCUUUCAUAGAAGCAAUCCCUUUUUUCUGUAUGCAUUGUCAACAUGAUAUUUUAAAAUGACAGACUCUAUUUUCUUCUCUGGAUAAAGUAAGAAAAUGUUACUUGUGUGUGUGUCUACAUGUGACUAUUGUUCAGAGGACUGCACACGAGGUGGCAGGAGGCCAGAUGGACUAAUCUGAUUGCAGGUGGAGCAGGGGCUUCCGGCUUGUCUCCUGGGAUCUUCUGAAAGGAAACUUUAAUGAAAAAUAGAUGAGAUUUCCACCAAGUCCAGCUUCUUGUGUCAAAUGCUUACAUUGUAUCAUUUCCCAUCCUCAUUAUAAUUACUGUCAUAAGAAUUGAUUAACAUUAUGCUUUUUUUUUUUCUGGUCUUCUUUGCAGUUUUACCAGAACAAAAAAUAAGAUAAAGCAGUGCACUGUCUGCACAGUAUGGGGAACCUCUGGUCCCUGUAGCAAUGAGGUUUCUUUUCUUUCUUAGGCAAUCUGUAUAUGGAGAGAAGUCAGAGUGAUCCUUCAGAAACCAAUCAUGGUAUUUUUACAUUUAAAUACCUUCAAUGGUUUGUUCCACAUUUUACUCAGAACAAAAAAGUUCUCAUAAUGGACUCUAAGGCCCCAGGUCAAUUGCCGCCUACCCCGAACACUGACACUGGACAAAAGCUGCAACUACUUACCUUAUACAAGCCUCACUCUCAUAUCCUGCUUAAACUCUCCCCUGGCAGUUUGCAUUCUGAUUUAUUCUGAAGAGGGGAAAACCAGUGUGUCUUUGCUACAGCUGGUAAAAGGCAAGUCUGAAGCUCAAGAGGGAGAGAGCAGGUCAGAGCUUACAUUGUUGACCAAGUGAGUAUUUGUGCUGCCAUUGGCCCAGGGUGCUUGGCUCCACAGUCCUGUGUUGUGCCAUCUUAGAUGCCAGUUUUAAUAAGGAAACAGGAG